rnacentral:rRNA from 1 species
CCUACGGGAGGCAGCAGUGGGGAAUAUUGCACAAUGGGCGAAAGCCUGAUGCAGCAACGCCGCGUGAGCGAUGAAGGCCUUCGGGUCGUAAAGCUCUGUCCUCAAGGAAGAUAAUGUCGGUACUUGAGGAGGUAUCCCCGGCAAACUACGUUCCAGCAGCCGCGGUAAUACGUAGGGGGGUAGCGUUAUACGGAAUUACUGGGCGUAAAGGGUGCGUAGGUGGUUUCUUAAGUCAGAGGUGAAAGGCUCCGGCUAAACCGUAGUAAGCCUGUGAAACUGGGGAACUUGAGUGCAGGAGAGGAGAGUGGAAUUCCUAGUGGAGCGGUGAAAUGCGUAGAUAUUAGGAGGAACACCAGGUGCGAAGGCGGCUCUCUGGAC